GCUGAGGUAGUCUAGACCGGUAGGGCGCGGGCCUGGAAAGCCCGUGGGACCUAAUGUCCCUCGGGAGUUCAAAUCUCCCCCUCAGCG
rnacentral:tRNA from 1 species